rnacentral:rRNA from 1 species
AUUGAACGCUGGCGGCAGGCCUAAUACAUGCAAGUCGAGCGGAUGAAGGGAGCUUGCUCCUGGAUUCAGCGGCGGACGGGUGAGUAAUGCCUAGGAAUCUGCCUGGUAGUGGGGGAUAACGUCCGGAAACGGGCGCUAAUACCGCAUACGUCCUGAGGGAGAAAGUGGGGGAUCUUCGGACCUCACGCUAUCAGAUGAGCCUAGGUCGGAUUAGCUAGUUGGUGGGGUAAAGGCCUACCAAGGCGACGAUCCGUAACUGGUCUGAGAGGAUGAUCAGUCACACUGGAACUGAGACACGGUCCAGACUCCUACGGGAGGCAGCAGUGGGGAAUAUUGGACAAUGGGCGAAAGCCUGAUCCAGCCAUGCCGCGUGUGUGAAGAAGGUCUUCGGAUUGUAAAGCACUUUAAGUUGGGAGGAAGGGCAGUAAGUUAAUACCUUGCUGUUUUGACGUUACCAACAGAAUAAGCACCGGCUAACUUUGUG